CGGUAACAUCCUAUUCGAAAACAACAGGUUCACGGUAUCACGUGGCAUGCUCAUUUUGCAGGCAUCAUAGAUUUAAAUUGUCAAUAGGAAGUGAUGGAAUACCAUCCACUGAUCCUGACAAUUAUUAGAUGAUGAUGUAAGAACAAUAUUUGUAUUAUACAAUUUACAAUCUUCUUCUACGAAAUAUAUUACUAGUAAACAAGAUUAAUUAAAGAUUUCUAAUGGAUCUUGAAAGCCAAAAGGAAAACUCUUCUAAAACAACCCUACAUUCGUUGUAGCUGUUGGUGCAGUCGGUCUUUUGUUUCUUUUCUUUUUUGUACUUUUCCUUUUGUUUUUCUUCACUUCCGACACGAUAAAGUUCCGACCUUGCCUUCUCUUUUUCCGGGUUUUCUUCGACCGUCUUGUGCAAGCUUCCCCCUCUUUUGCCCACGGCAUCAGGCUUGGUUUUUCGGCUUCUCACCGGCAACCUAUAUCCUUUGUAUGGCUGGCCUUGCUGCCCCUAUGGUUGGAGCUUGAGGAGCUUAGGAUUUGCCGCAGUAGCUUGUUUACGAACAAAAAGAUUCGGGCU
rnacentral:lncRNA from 1 species